rnacentral:sRNA from 1 species
UAGCCAGUUUGGCCGCAGUGGCGUUCGC